rnacentral:rRNA from 1 species
GUGAGGAAUUUUCCGCAAUGGGCGAAAGCCUGACGGAGCAAUGCCGCGUGAAGGAUGAAGGCCUAUGGGUUGUAAACUUCUUUUCUCAGAAAAGAAUUAUGACGGUAUCUGAGGAAUAAGCAUCGGCUAACUCUGUGCCAGCAGCCGCGGUAAGACAGAGGAUGCAAGCGUUAUCCGGAAUGAUUGGGCGUAAAGCGUCUGUAGGUUGUUUAAAAAGUAUUCUGUCAAAGAUUAGGGCUUAACCCUAGAUAGGCAGAAUAAACUUUUAAGCUAGAGUUUGGUAGAGGCAGAGGGAAUUCCCGGUGGAGCGGUGAAAUGCGUAGAUAUCGGGAGGAACACCAAAGGCGAAGGCACUCUGCUGGGCCAAUACUAACACUGAGAGACGAAAGCGAGGGGAGCAAAUGGGAUUAGAAACCCUAGUGUCC